rnacentral:tRNA from 1 species
ACCUGGGUGGCUCAGUCGGUUGAGCAUCUGACUUUGACUCAGGUCAUGAUCUCACGGUUCGUGGGUUCAAGCCCCACAUCGGGUU